CAUAACCAUGUUCAGAACCACACAUGAACAAGAAACAGUGAUCUUAAAUCCUAAUUACUUUCAUCACAUUAACAAAGCAAACCAUCCAAAAAAAUCAAUCAGAAUCGUAAAUAAAAUUCAAAAGAGAAGAACACUACCAGAUCGAAAUCAGUGGUAGAUCUAGCGCGGCGACGGUUGCAUGAUUUCAACGAGGGUUCUUUCGUGGAGGACGGUGGUGCGGUGUGCGGUAUAGGUUCAAAAGGACCAAAUAAAGAUACAAACAAUUCACACUACACACAGUAAAAACAAGAUUAGAAAUUACCGAUCCGAAAGUUAUCGGAGGAAGAAUCCACAAAGGUUGCUUUGGAUUGGUGGCUGGGCUUCACGGAUGGAGAAUAGGGUUUAGUUGUUGUUGUUUUUCAAUGUGAAGAACAACAACUUUAGGGUAAUGAGUUUGUAAUUAUGGGUGACUGGAAAGUGUAAAUAUGUGUGCUAUUUAUAGAUGGAGAAUUAAGUCACAAAUUGAAUGAGAUUAUUUAUUUUUAGAAA